rnacentral:rRNA from 1 species
UGACGGUACCUGACUAAGAAGCCCCGGCUAACUACGUGCCAGCAGCCGCGGUAAUACGUAGGGGGCAAGCGUUAUCCGGAUUUACUGGGUGUAAAGGGAGCGUAGACGGAAUUGCAAGUCUGAUGUGAAAGGCAUGGGCUCAACCCGUGGACUGCAUUGGAAACUGUGGUUCUUGAGUGCCGGAGGGGUAAGCGGAAUUCCUGGUGUAGCGGUGAAAUGCGUAGAUAUCAGGAGGAACACCAGUGGCGAAGGCGGCUUACUGGACGGCAACUGACGUUGAGGCUCGAAGGCGUGGGGAGCAAACAGGAUUAGAUACCCUG